UACGUAGGGUGCGAGCGUUAAUCGGAAUUACUGGGCGUAAAGCGUGCGCAGGCGGUUUUGUAAGCCAGAUGUGAAAGCCCCGGGCUUAACCCUGGGAAUGGCAUUUGGGACUGCAAGGCUUGAGUGCGGCAGAGGAGACUGGAAUUCCCGGUGUAGCAGUGAAAUGCGUAGAUAUCGGGAGGAAUACCGAUGGCGAAGGCAGGUCUCUGGGCUGACACUGACGCUCAUGCACGAAAGCGUGGGGAGCAAACAGG
rnacentral:rRNA from 1 species